rnacentral:rRNA from 1 species
UACGAAGGGGGCUAGCGUUGCUCGGAAUCACUGGGCGUAAAGCGCACGUAGGCGGAUUGUUAAGUCAGGGGUGAAAUCCUGGAGCUCAACUCCAGAACUGCCUUUGAUACUGACGGUCUUGAGUUCGGGAGAGGUGAGUGGAACUGCGAGUGUAGAGGUGAAAUUCGUAGAUAUUCGCAAGAACACCAGUGGCGAAGGCGGCUCACUGGCCCGAUACUGACGCUGAGGUGCGAAGGCGUGGGGAGCAAACAGG